UUUCUGGUUUAGUCCCGACUUAUUUCUAAUGUGUAUUUUGGGCCUCGAGGACUCGUAUAAGGGACAAUUUGCAUGUUUUGAAUUGGUUUUAAUAUGUUUAAUGAUAUGUUAUGAAAUGUUUGAAUUUUCUAUUCUUUUGAAUUGUAAACUCCAGUAAUGUAUCGUAACCUUGUACCGGCGACGGAUACAGGUCAGAGGUGUUACACGGUUAGCACUAGUCUGCUCGUUCUUACUGCCGACAAUGCAUUCCUGGCCUCAAUUGGCCGGGUCGUUCCUCCAGCACUGUUACUUUAAAGAAAUUAAUGUGCUCAAAAUAGGCCUACGCUUGUAUACAUUAGCAUGGGAUAACAUGAUAGGAUUUUGAUCCUAUUAUCUUGGCCUUCGAGAUCGGAGUAAUGAUUAAUAGAGACAGUCGGGGACAGUCAUAUUUCAUAGUCAGAGGUGAAAGUCUUGGAUUUAUGAAAGAUGAACAACUACAAAAGCAUUUGCCAAGGAUGUUUCCAUUAAUCAAGAAUGAAAGUUGGGGGCUCGAAGAUGAUCUGAUACCGUCCUAGUGUCAACCAUAAACGAUGCCGACCAGGGAUUGACGGAUGUUGCUUUUAGGACUCCGUCGACACCUUAUGAGAAAUCAGAGUCUUUGGGUUUUGGGGGGAGUAUUGUUGCAAUGAUGAAACUUAAAGGAAUUGACGUAAGGGCACCACCAGAAGUGGAGCUUACGGCUUAACUUGACUCAACAUAGGAAAAUUUACCAAGUCCAGACAUAGUAGGGACAGACUGUGAGCUCUUUCUUGAUUCUAUAGAUGGUGGUGCAUGGCCAUUCUUAGUUGGUGGAGCAAUUUGUCUAGUUAAUUCCGUUAACGAAUGAGACCCCAGUCUACUAACUAGGUACACGCAGGUAAUCCUACGUAGCUAGCUUCUUAGAAGGACUAUGGCCUUUUAAGCCAUGGAAGUUUAAGGCAAUAACAGGUAUGUGAUGCCCUUAAAUGUUCUAUGCUGCACGUGCACUACAAUAAUGUCUUCAAAGAGUCUAUAGCCUUGGUCGAUAGGCUCGAGUAAUCUUUGAAAUUUCAUCGUCAUGGGGAUAGAUCAUUGCAAUUGUUGGUUUUCAAUAAGGAAUUCCUAGUAAGCACGAGUUAUCAUCUCGCGCUGACUAAGUGCCUACCCUUUGAACACACCGCCUGUCGCUUCUACCGAUUGAAUGGUCCAGUAAAGUGUUUGCAUCAUGACGACGUGGGUUGUUCGAUGCCUGCAUCAUCGCGAGAAGUCCACUUAACCAUAUCAUUUAAAGGAAUUGGAAGUCAGGAUGUGUCCUU
rnacentral:rRNA from 1 species